AUGUAAGUGGACGGUGCUGGCUGACCCCGGAGACACCAUCUCACUGGUGUUCACUGACUUCCAGAUAGAGGACAAACACGGCUCUCUGGAGAUAGAAGGAUCAGAGCCGCCCAGUAUCUGGUUAUCUGGUGUGAAUAUACCAGCGCCCGUCAUCAGCAACAAGAACUGGCUAAGACUCCAUUUUGUGACCGAUAGGAGUCAUCUAAAUAAAGGAUUCACACUUCAGUAUCAAGUGAAAAGCUCUGGUGAGCAGAAAUCCAGAGGAGUAAAGUUACUACCGGGAAAGGACAACAAUAACAAAUGGUCUCUGA